rnacentral:rRNA from 1 species
AUUGAACGCUGGCGGCAGGCCUAACACAUGCAAGUCGAGCGGAGCGGCGGACGGGUGAGUAAUGCCUAGGAAUCUGCCUGGUAGUGGGGGAUAACGUCCGGAAACGGGCGCUAAUACCGCAUACUAUCAGAUGAGCCUAGGUCGGUUUAGCUAGGUGGUGGGGUAACGGCCUAACAAGGCGACGAUCCGUAGCUGGUCUGAGAGGAUGAUAAGUAACACUGGAACUGAGAGACGGGACAGACUCCUACGGGAGGAAGCAGUGGGGAAGAUUGGAAAAUGGGGGAAAGCAUGAUCCAGGCAUGCCGCGUGUGUGAAGAAGGGCUGCGGAUUGUAAAGCACUUUAAGUUGGGAGGCGUUACCAACAGAAGAAGCACCGGCUAACUUCGUGCCAGCAGCCGCGGUAAUUC